rnacentral:misc_RNA from 1 species
GAAAUGCGAUAAGUAAUGUGAAUUGCAGAAUUCAGUGAAUCAUCGAAUCUUUGAACGCACAUUGCGCCCGCCAGUAUUCUGGCGGGCAUGCCUGUUCGAGCGUCAUUACAACCCUCAGGCCCCCGGGCCUGGCGUUGGGGAUCGGCGGAAGCCCCCUGCGGGCACAACGCCGUCCCCCAAAUACAGUGGCGGUCCCGCCGCAGCUUCCAUUGCGUAGUAGCUAACACCUCGCAACUGGAGAGCGGCGCGGCCACGCCGUAAAACACCCAACUUCUGAAUGUUGACCUCUCAUCAGGUAGGAAUACCCGCUGAACUUAAGC